rnacentral:rRNA from 1 species
AGUGAACGCUGGCGGCAGCCCUAACACAUUCAAGACGAGCGAGCGGCGGCCGGGUGAGUAAUGUGUGGGGACUGCACGAUAGAGGGGGAUAACUACUUGCAACGGUGGCUAAUACCGCAUACUAUCGGAUAACCCAUAUGGGAUUAGCUAGUAGGUGGGGUAAAGGCUCACCUAGGCGACGAUCUCUAGCUGGUCUGAGAGUAUGAUCAGCCACACGGGGACUGAGACAUGGUCAAGACUCCUACGGAGGCAGCAGUGGGGAAGAUUGCACAGUGGGCGCAAGCCUGAUGCUGCCAUGCCGCGGGUAUUAAGAAGGCCUUAGGUUUGCAGAGUACUUGCAGCGGGGAGGCGUUACACGCAGAAGAAGCACCGGAGAACUCCGUGCGAGCAGCCGCGGUAAUAC